GAAUUCAUGAACCUAUUUCAAGAAAAACGUUUUCAUAAUAUGAAGACAUUAUUUGCAUUUUUCAUUGUGAUUCUCUCAUUGGAAUACAGUCGAAUUCCUGGUGGCUACAUCACUCUGACUAGGAAAGAGAGCAGACAAAAAGGCUAGAAUCUUUUAAUCCCAAUGCCAAACUCACCUUGUGGCAACUUUGACCUGAUUAUGCUAUGCAUAUGGAACCACCUGACAGUGAAGAGACCGUGUUGGCAAGCCACUUCACCUUUGUAAACCUCAAUUUCUGAAGAAUUCCUCCAUCUUUAAAGGGUUGAUGAGAAGAUAAAGCAAAACAAUACAGGUAAAUCUGUUGUGAUGCUCAGAAGUAAAAAGAACAGAAUCUGUUCAGUAAAAUCUUACUAAAUCUGAAAGGAUGUAAUGAGAAGGAGAUUGGACUAAAAGUCAAUCCUUAUCUGCACCUUUUCUUUAAUAUUAGGGAGAGCAGAUAUGUCUAUAAAGUACUGUUCUGACAUGGAAUCAGUACACAUUUGCAUCUCCGUCUCUCCAUCACACGCUGGAUUCUGGCUGUUUGGCUAAGCCAAUCUCUUAAGAUUCUUUUCACCCCUGGAAUUCUAUGAGAAAUAAUAACACAUUAACAUCUUUUAAAUGUGCCUCUAUGAUGUAAAAGACCAGGGAAACAGAAACUAUUAAAAGUGCAUAAGUCAAGGAGAUAAAAUCCUGGGAAUUUUUUUAUAUGGCAGUAAAAUUUCUAAAAGUCCAGAGGGUAUGACCUAGAAAUGAGAAAAGCAAAAAGCGUCUAAGUACCCUAAUAGGCAGACCAAGGGAAAGGCAAAAUUAUCAAAUCCCAAGAGGCAGAGCCACAGUUUGAAGGGAGCUAAAAACCAGUGAGGUAUUUCUGAUGUUAUACAGAUCCAGCUUCACACAGAGAAGGAAGAGAGUCUUGGGUCCAGUCCUUCAACGUUUCAUCAACAUUUCCUAUUGACUGAACACAGUCUGAAACUGACUUAUCUGGGAGCCCACAGAGAGCAAGCCCUCCUUAGGCAGAGCACAAUAAAAAGAGGAUGAGGAAUAAAUCUGAAAGCAAACAGGUUAUGGGCUUGCCUCAUCAACUGAUCCACUGAAUAUGGAAAAGUAUGGCUCAUUACAGCUUUCAGUUAAAUGAAUGACUUACCCCAAGGCC